AGUGAACGCUGGCGGUAGGCCUAACACAUGCAAGUCGAACGGCAGCACAGGAGAGCUUGCUCUCUAGGUGGCGAGUGGCGGACGGGUGAGGAAUACAUCGGAAUCUGCCCAGUCGUGGGGGAUAACGUAGGGAAACUUACGCUAAUACCGCAUACGACCUUCGGGUGAAAGAGGGGGAUCGCAAGACCUCUCGCGAUUGGAUGAGCCGAUGUCGUAUUAGCUAGUUAGCGGGGUAAUGGCCCACCAAGGCGACGAUCCGUAGCUGGUCUGAGAGGAUGAUCAGCCACACUGGAACUGAGACACGGUCCAGACUCCUACGGGAGGCAGCAGUGGGGAAUAUUGGACAAUGGGCGCAAGCCUGAUCCAGCCAUACCGCGUGGGUGAAGAAGGCCUUCGGGUUGUAAAGCCCUUUUGUUGGGAAAGAAAUCUUUCAGGCUAAUACCCUGGGAGGAUGACGGUACCCAAAGAAUAAGCACCGGCUAACUUCGUG
rnacentral:rRNA from 1 species